rnacentral:rRNA from 1 species
GUUAAGCGACUAAGCGUACACGGUGGAUGCCCUGGCAGUCAGAGGCGAUGAAGGACGUGCUAAUCUGCGAUAAGCGUCGGUAAGGUGAUAUGAACCGUUAUAACCGGCGAUUUCCGAAUGGGGAAACCCAGUGUGUUUCGACACACUAUCAUUAACUGAAUCCAUAGGUUAAUGAGGCGAACCGGGGGAACUGAAACAUCUAAGUACCCCGAGGAAAAGAAAUCAACCGAGAUUCCCCCAGUAGCGGCGAGCGAACGGGGAGCAGCCCAGAGCCUGAAUCAGUGUGUGUGUUAGUGGAAGCGUCUGGAAAGGCGCGCGAUACAGGGUGACAGCCCCGUACACAAAAAUGCACAUGCUGUGAGCUCGAUGAGUAGGGCGGGACACGUGGUAUCCUGUCUGAAUAUGGGGGGACCAUCCUCCAAGGCUAAAUACUCCUGACUGACCGAUAGUGAACCAGUACCGUGAGGGAAAGGCGAAAAGAACCCCGGCGAGGGGAGUGAAAAAGAACCUGAAACCGUGUACGUACAAGCAGUGGGAGCACGCUUAGGCGUGUGACUGCGUACCUUUUGUAUAAUGGGUCAGCGACUUAUAUUCUGUAGCAAGGUUAACCGAAUAGGGGAGCCGAAGGGAAACCGAGUCUUAACUGGGCGUUAAGUUGCAGGGUAUAGACCCGAAACCCGGUGAUCUAGCCAUGGGCAGGUUGAAGGUUGGGUAACACUAACUGGAGGACCGAA